rnacentral:rRNA from 1 species
UACGAAGGGUGCAAACGUUGCUCGGAAUCAUUGGGCGUAAAGCGCACGUAGGCGGCCUUGUAAGUCGGACGUGAAAUCCCACGGCUCAACCGUGGAAGUGCAUCCGAAACUGUAAGGCUCGAGUAUGGAAGAGGGUCGCAGAAUUCCCGGUGUAGAGGUGAAAUUCGUAGAUAUCGGGAGGAAUACCAGUGGCGAAGGCGGCGACCUGGGCCAAUACUGACGCUGAGGUGCGAAAGCGUGGGGAGCAAAC